rnacentral:rRNA from 1 species
ACGGAGGGUGCGAGCGUUAAUCGGAAUAACUGGGCGUAAAGGGCACGCAGGCGGUUUGUUAAGUCAGAUGUGAAAUCCCCGGGCUCAACCCGGGAACUGCAUUUGAAACUGGCAGGCUAGAGUCUCGUAGAGGGGGGUAGAAUUCCAGGUGUAGCGGUGAAAUGCGUAGAGAUCUGGAGGAAUACCGGUGGCGAAGGCGGCCCCCUGGACGAAGACUGACGCUGAGGUGCGAAAGCGUGGGGAGCAAACAGG